UAAUAGGCCGUUGAUCAUUUACAAAUCCUAUCAAGGCAGGGCUUUUUACAUCUAUACUUGUUCUUUUUCUAGCGGUUUCGUUUCAAUUUGGUUCCUUACAAAACUCACGAAAAUGAUUCAACGCGGAAGGAAAGGAAACUAGGAAAAUCGAGGCGUUACUUGAAAUCUUUUUCAAAUGGCUGCUGUUAGGUUUUCCUCUUUAAGACGCAUACGGAGUUCAAUCAAUAGUUCCUUGAACACCGAAUUAGCUAAAAUUUCUCAAAAUCGGUUUAGUAAUUUGGCUUCUGAAUCACUUGUUAGUAGUCACCUGUUUGUUCCCAAAACCAAUGACUCACUGUAUCCUAGAUUCUCUAGCUUUUGCUUCCGGAGUACUCUUCCUUUUGCCUCCAUGACCAACGUGUUGAGUAGCCGAACAUAUUCAUCAUCCGUGGGUGGCAAAGGAAGCAGUGAUGGUGGUACAGAAGUUGCUGCUGCUGGUUCUGGUUCAGGUGACAUGAAUGCCAGUGGUGAUUCUGUUGUUACUGGUGAUUGGGCUGAGAAGAUUCAGGAUACUUGGAAGAAUGCGGUAGAGACAGCAUCGUAUGCUGGGCAAAAGGUUAAAGAAGCUUCUGAUGAUCUGACUCCAUAUGCUCAGCAGUUGCUUGAUUCACAUCCAUACCUUAACAAGGUGGUUAUUCCAGUUGGUGGUACUUUAACUGCUACUCUGAUAGCUUGGUUAUUGAUGCCUAGGGUUUUGAGAAAAUUUCACAAAUAUGCAAUGCGGGGUCCUGUUUCUCUAUUUCCUGGAAGUAUGUCUGGGGAGACAGUUCCUUAUGAGAAAAGCUUUUGGGGUGCUAUGGAAGAUCCAGUGCGAUAUUUAGUUACCUUCAUGGCAUUCUCGCAAAUUGGUGUAAUGGUAGCUCCAACAACUAUAGCUGCACAGUAUCUUGCACCAGCUUGGAGGGGUGCAGUGAUACUUUCAUUUGUAUGGUUUUUGCAUAGAUGGAAAACAAAUGUUUUUGAACGGACAUUGUCCAGUCAAAGUUUACCUGGGCUUGAUAGGGAGAAAUUGCUGGCUCUAGACAAAAUCUCAUCUAUUGGCCUGUUUGUGAUUGGUAUAAUGGCUUUGGCUGAGGCUUGUGGUGUGGCUGUGCAAUCUAUUAUAACUGUUGGUGGAAUAGGAGGAGUGGCUACUGCUUUCGCUGCUAAAGACAUUCUUGGCAAUGUGUUCAGUGGUUUAUCUAUGCAGUUUUCGAAGCCCUUUUCAAUUGGAGAUACAAUAAAAGCUGGUUCGAUAGAAGGUCAAGUGGUGGAGAUGGGUCUUACUACCACGUCAUUGCUGAGUUCUGAGAAGUUCCCAGUCAUUGUGCCAAACUCAUUUUUUUCUAGCCAGGUUAUAGUGAACAAGUCCCGUGCUGAAUAUCUAGCCAUUAUUACCAAAAUUCCUCUGCAAAUUGUGGAUUUAAGUAAGAUUCCCCAGAUAUCGGAUGAUGUAAAAAGCAUGCUAAGAUCAAAUGCAAAAGUUUUCUUAGGAAAAGACAUUCCCUACUGUUUCUUGUCGCGUAUAGAAAGUUCAUAUGCAGAAUUGACUCUUGGAUAUAACCUCAAACACAUGCGCAAAGAUGAGUUAUACUCUGCAGAACAAGAAAUUCUCCUACAGGCAGUUCACAUCAUUAAGAAUCAUGGCAUUGCGUUAGGCAGCACAUGGCAAGACACCUCUACUAAGUGACAUGGUCCGCGUGAUGACAAAUUUGGAAGACGUGAUGUGAUUUCUAGACAUGAGAAGGUUUCUGGGUGUGACGCCAACAUCAUGGGACCGGUUUUGUGCUCAUUCGGAAUUACCAGCCCUUGAACUUCAUCUAGUUGAAGUUCCCCAUCAGGAACAAGAACUUGUUUUUCGUAUUGGUAUGUCCUGCUUUUGAGCCUCUGCUGCAGUUGCUGUGAUUGAAGAAGAAACCAAACUGGGAAACAUAUUGUUGAGGCUUUUCUGAAAGAGGGUUAUUUGAAAGGCUUAUGGAAAAGUAAAACAGCUUGAUCUGGUUGGUGCUAGUCCUAUUAGUAACAUUAAAAAUUGAAGCAUUUUUGGUAUGCUCUAUACUUCACACGUCAUUAGUCAGUUUUUUUUUUGGAAAUAUUUCAAUCGGUUCAUUGCUUCGCAACUAAUCCGAUUAGGGAGGGUCCAGGAUUAAGACUUUAAACCUCUCCCAAAGGUAUGCUCUAUACUUCACACGUCAUUAGUCAGUUUAGUUUUAUUUCAUGAUGAUGAUGAUGCUACUUUCCAACACCAAGCAGACUUACUUACUAUUUAAUGUUAAUAUUAAUAUCUUGUGGUUUAUAGGCUCAUUUUCAUGCUAAGUGCAUCUGUAUCUAUUUCUCCAGAUUCUUAGCAAGAGGAUUAGGCAACACAAAUAAUGAAUGUUUUCUAUUUAUUUGUA